rnacentral:misc_RNA from 1 species
GUGGCGCCCUUUGCAUGCGGGACAAAAUCUGUGAAAGUCGACUGGACGAGCAGACGACAACCCGGAUCUGACAAAAGGCCUAGCUUCUUGUGUCGAUGAUGGGGAGCGUGCGUUGGGCAUUCCGUUUUGGUUCUUGGAAACCCACACAGGCUGAAUGGACUCUGGCAUCUAGGUGUAUACAGCAGGAGGAAAAAGACAAGAUCGGCAAAUUUGUCUUCAAGAAAGAUGGCAAGGCCUCAAUGGUUGGAAGGCUCCUCAUCCGAAAAGUUGUUGCAGAAACCUUGACAUUCCCCUGGAAAGAGAUCAGCCUUGCAAGAACAGAGAAGGGCAAGCCCUACCUCACCAAUGAGAACAUCGCAGAUCCUGAUUUCUUCCCUAAUUUUAAUUUCAAUGCAUCACAUGCUGGGGACUACACUGUGUUGGCUGCUGAGCCUGAGUGGCUGUGUGGGGUGGAUGUCAUGAAGGUUGAGGCACGAGGAACGCCCACGAUUCCUGAAUUUUUCCGUUUGAUGAAAAGGCAGUUAACGUAUCAUGAAUGGGAGGUCAUACAAGCAGAAGACACAGAAUGGAAACAGCUGGAGAUGUUCUACAGAUUCUGGUGUUUGAAGGAAAGCUACAUCAAGGCGAUUGGUAUUGGUUUGGGCCUUGACCUGCAGACAAUAGAAUUUCAUCCAAAGACAAGGGCAGUACAACAGGGAAUGGUCACCACAGACACAAAGUUCUAUCUGAAUGGAACACUGGAUACCACAUGGGACUUCCAUGAAUCAAAGUUGGAUGACCUUCAUUUUGUGUGUGUUGCCCUCAAGCGACCAAAUGGGAUCUGCCGUUUGAUUUUGCCCUGCCACUCAUGAAGUGAACUUAAAGAGAGAAGCAAGACUCGCCGCCGCUUCAACGCUCCCAUCUGGCUCUCUGUAAGAUCCAUGGAUUGUGACAGAGAAGAACAUGAAGCCGAAUUUCACCAUGCUAUGAUACAGAACCUCGUUGAAAGGAACUUGCCGAAGUAGAACUCAACUGCCAGUGUGACCUAGAAAAGAUGUAAUGGAGGACAUUGCCCGCAGCUUUGAAACACAUCAUCAGUGCAUACUUUAGCAUGCAGCUUCUGGGCCCAACAUGAUGAUAUGGAAAGUCGACUCCGGGGAAGUCUUUGAAUUAUCCUCAGAUUUGAAGCUGUUCUACCAGCCGAUACCGACAGGCAGAGUAAGGCCUGAGUACUGUUCUCCUCUAUAGUAUGCCUACACAGCCGAGUAAAUAUGCACAUCCAUCGAUAACACACAGGCUGCAGGCUUGACCUUGAACUAAUGCUGGAGGCUGAACUAGGUCGUGACCUAGGCGGAGUCGGUAGCAGAGGUGUAGAACUCCACCACUAACUUGUUGCCUUCAACCGCAGUGAUUUUACUAGCAACAGCAGGGUGCCCCACCCAGCGAUCUUCCCCAACCAAGAUGGCUUCCUUGACCUCCUCAUGGCAGUCUGGGGUCACAUAGU